ACUUCUGGUGGAGGUACCCGACUCUCUGUUGGAACUGACACUCUGCCCACUCUAACGGUCCUGCCGCCCUCCAGAGAUGAGUUGAAGCAGGGUAAAGCUACAGUCAUGUGCGCGGGCAGUAAGGGAUUCCCCUCUGACUGGCAGCUGAGCUGGAAGGUGGAUACUAGCAGCAGGAACUCUGGUGUGAAUGUGAGUCCAGGUGUGCUGCAGAAGGAUGGACUGUACAGCUGGAGCAGCAGUCUGACUCUCACUGAGAGUGAGUGGAGCAGAGCAAACACCAUCAGCUGUGAGGCCACUCAGAGAUCCCAGAAUCCAGUCACCAAAAUCCUGAACACACAAGAGUGUGAUGUGGAGUGACAACACACACACAGAUAUGCAUACAGUUUAUUGAUAAGCAUACAUACACUCCUUUAUUCACACAGACAUACACAUAGAUCUUAAUGUUUUCUUUAUGCUUUUGUUUUAAUACAAAUCACAGAUAAUUCAUACGAUCACAGUCGAUGUUUUAACACUAUUUUUUAUUUUUUUACAUUUAUUUUUUGAAUUAUUAACAGUGUUUAUCUGAUUUUUAUUGUGGUUUGAUGGUAUUGUGAUUAUAAUUAUACCAUAUUUGUUAAAUGUUUUUUAUGAAAUUAGCUUUUUGUUUGAUUUCCGAAGCUUUUUAAAAAAUUGUAUUUUGAUUUCCUGAGUUUACAGGUGUAACCUGCUCAAGAAAAGUCUCAAAGUCUCAAAACACAAAGCGGUUGAAUUAUUGUAAAAUGCAAAAAUCUAGAUUUGUUUUGCAUCUUCAGUUUAUUUUUUCCAUUCACAUUUAUUCUACCAUUCUCUUGAAAAAUGCUCUCUUACAGUAAGGUGACUUGUAAGAAUGUGCAUGUAUCUGUGUUGUGUCAAUACAUCAGCAGGCUGCUAAUGCAAAAUAAAAAUACAAAUCGUGUAGCGAGAAUACAAAUACUAGGGGAAGAUGGAGGAAGAAGCCCCUGGGGUAAGAUGACUUGCUAAAAUUACACUAUGGGGAAAGAUGCCCCACUCAGGAUUGGGGCAGAAGGCCCCCAGUGGCAUUGUUUCUGGUGUAAUUAUUAUUUAAUUUAAUAAUUAUAUUUUAAUCAUCUUUACUGUUCACUAUAACCUGCACGUGAAUUUAAUCUAAAUGAAUAGAAAUAUAUUCCUUCAAUUAAAAAUAUGAGCAUCUAAAUAUUUAUAUACUCACAGGCCUGUACAAUAUAUAAUUCGCAGAAUGAGUUUACAUUUCAGAUGAAUCUGUUUGGAUGGAUUCUGUUAUUUGAUUUGUCUGUUAUCAUUCAGUUGUUCAAUUAUUCUACUUAGUUGUGAAUUAUUCACAUACAUUAUUAAAACAUUUUUUUUUUUAGUAUUUUACAUUAAUAGACACACACACACACACACACACACAAAAAUCCAUUAUUAAUGAUUGAUAUCACAUAUAUUUUACACAUUCCAUUAAAAUUGGAUGACACCUAAGACAGGUUUACCCUGUGGGGCUUCUUGUCCCGGGUGUGGGGUUAUCUUACCCCAGUAGAUUGGUUAGACGGCACCUUUUCGUAAUUUUAAAUUUUGUACUAUGACAGCUAAAUUAACAAAUGUUUUUCUUCCCAUGAUAAUUUAUUGGAUGAUGCAUCAUCACUCUGUACAUGCUAAACUUAUACAGUAUCUAAAUAUAUUACAGUUUAAAAGUAAAUGCCCAUUGUUCAGUUCUUAAGGGGGUCUCUUCCCCCAUUUUCCCCUAUUAAUGCUAUUACUAGAAAAUGAGAAUUGGUAGCCUUUAAUAAGUAUUUUUUUUUAUUAUUCACUGUAUGUCCAUUGCAGACAUUCUGAAAUGUAUGAUACCGGAGUCAUGUUCUUUUGUUGUUGUUUCCCUUGCAUGAUAACACAGUUCUUUGAUUUUAUUAUCUGAACCAGUUAAAUAAAUUGUGAUAUUUCCUCACACUUUGUGUGAAUGUAAUGUAAAAUUAGUUUGAGUGCAGUUAAAUGUAACAUGAGUUGGCUAAAGGCUAAAGCAGGGAUUGAAUACUGCAGGUAUAACGGUUCUUUUUGUGAUUAGGAAAGUUGAAUGUGUUCAAAUAUUUUACAGUGAUAGGUUUUUGUAUGCUGCUUUUUCACUGUGUGAACACAGAUGAUGUCAAGAAAUGUUCACUCUGACAGUAAUACACUCACGAAUCUUCAGGUUGGACUCCACUGAUGGUCAGUUUGAAGUCAAUGUGGUUUCCACUUUCACUGCCAUUGAAUCUAGAGGAAACUCCUGAAACUCUCUCUGAUGUGUAAUAGAUCAAGAGUUUGGGAGCUUCUCCAGGAAUCUGGUGGUACCAGGACAUACAAUACAGAGUGGUAUUGGUUUUAGCACAGUACACCGCUGGUGUGUUUACACUGAACAGUGACAGUUUGACCAGGCUGCACUGUUUGAGCAUCAGAUUGAGUCAAAAUCUGCCCCACAGACACUGAAGAAAGAGAAACAUUGAAUCAUUAAUUUGAUACUGAUGAGGACACACUCACACAUGUACAGUAUAAAUAGAAGUAAACGCUGUACAUGCUUUCAUGAAUUAUGUAUACACAAUAUUUAAAUUCUAUCACAGUUAGAUAAAGUGAUACGACAUGAUCAUUUAGGUCAAGUAAUAUAUGUUCCACUAAUAAAGGGCUUGUACAUGCAUGGGGUCCUAAUACAACUUAUUUUAUAUAUUUAUGAAGGCAGUAUUAUUUAAAAUCCUCAUGUUGAAAAGAUAUAGAUGUUAGACUAUACAGUAUAUGAUUAAUCUAUUGCGCAUUUAUUAAGUUUUAAACAAAGAUUGUUUUAAUCAGCACACAUUUGAAGUUUUCUCUAAAUCAGUUAAUGACUAUUUUUACUGUAUGUAGGGCCGUCAGUUACAAAAUCUGAAAGUCACAGGUCUAUAAGCACUUUGAGAGCACUGAAGCAUGCAGUUCCAAUGCAAAGUGUCUUUACAAUGUAAAUGUUCUUUCAGAAAACCAGAACAUCUGGUAAUCUGGCCAAGAAUUAUUUUUUUAUUUAUUAUUGUUUUGGAUGGCUUCAAAACUUAAACUCACAAAUGAUAUUGAACAAUUUGGAGGCAGUGUCCAGCAGUGUCUCCAGUUGAUAAUAUAAUAAUAGUUAUGACACACAAAUACAGUAGAGAACCAUAUAUGUCAUUUGCACUGUCAUUCUAU